CGACGCAGACGGCUUCGGCGACGACUGCGACAACUGCCCCAACAACGCUAACCAGAUCCAAUCCGAUGCUAACGAUAACGGGAUCGGCGACGUCUGUGAUGCCGACGCGGAUGACGAUGGCGUGACGAACGACGUCGACAACUGCGUCGAUGUGGCCAACAGCGACCAACUGGACCUCGACGGCGAUGGCGUGGGCGACGUGUGUGACAACUGCCCCCAAGACGCCAACGGUGACCAGGUCGACAGCAACGCAAACCUUUUCGGAGACGCCUGCGAUGACGGCGUUGACUCCGAUGCAGACUCCAUCUUAGACACGGUGGACAACUGCCCCGCCAUCCCCAACAGCGACCAGGGCGACGUCGACGCGGACGGAGUCGGCGACGUAUGCGAUGACGACGCCGACAACGACGGAAUCCUCAAUGUUAACGACAACUGCCCGCUCGUCGCCAAUGCCUAUCAGGGGGACGUCAACGAGGACGGCGUAGGGGACGAGUGUUCACAGGAUUAUGACGGGGACGGAUACGUGGACGCCACAGACACGUGUCCGAAGAGUAGCGCUCUUUGGCAUGAGAG